GUGGCUAAUAAAUACUGGCAACUGUGGCUUUAUUCUUUUUAUUUUUGCUUCUAUAGAGGUUGGUUGAUGAGCAAGAGCUCCAGUUUCACAAGGAAUACAUGAAUGAACAAGAUCCCAGCAUUCCUCACUUCCUUUUUGCAUCAGGAAAUAUGUUUCUGACAAGCAAGUCUAUGAUGAUUUGAUGACACUGCUUUAUAGCUGGCUAUGAAACAUCACUGUAGUUUUAACAUGGACCUUUUAUCUUCUGUCCAAGGAGCUUAAGGUUGUGGCAAAGCUUCAAGAAGAGGACCAACGAAGUGGCAACAUGUUUGCUACAUAUGAGACUGUAGUAGCACUUGCAAUGCUUGUUUGGAGAUUUAACUUUCAAAUGACAUAUGGAGCUCCAUAAAUAAGCCACUCAUCUUAAUACUCAGAAUCUUUUUUCUAGCCAUUCAUAUCAUCUUUUCUGCUUUGCAUCAGCAACUUGUUCUUAAAAAUUUCUUUGUGUGUGUAGGUGAAGAUCACAACAGGGGCAACAAUUAUUGGUUGUCGAAGAUGACCAUAACAAGAAGAGUGCAACCUCCUUACCUACAUUAGAGAUGCCAGCCCUGAAAGUAGAUAAAAUCUGUUGGUGUUUUUGAAAAGUACCUUUCAGUUGCUGAGAGAAUGGUCACCUUAUGCAAAAUAUAUGAAGUUUAUAGUAUAAAGCAGGCGGUGGUUCUUAUUGCAUUUUGAAAAUCGAUGUGGUUGUAGAUGGGGAAAGAUUUGGAUUGUUUUUUGAAAAUUGAUUUGGUUGUGGGUGGGGAAAGAUUUGAAGAAGGAUUACAAUCAUUGUGAGGAACCAAACAAGUGCAUGUAAUUCACCAAAGGAAUAUAUAUUAAGGAAGAAAAAAGGCAGAAAGACUGAGGAAAGAUAAGGCAUAGACUAAAAUGUAGUGGUCUGUUGCUCAAUGGUCACAUAACAAAGAUGUAAGAUCCAAUUAAUUACAGAGAAAAAUUCAUUUUACUACAGUGAAAUCUACUUUGCCGAAA